AUGGAGCCGGGAGACCGGGGGAGGGGGAAGAUCCCUCCAGCCCCUCCACCAGAGCCCGCGGGCAGUGCGCCUGGGAGGUCAGAGCUGGCAGGUGGGCGGAUAAGCGGGGGGACAGGCAGGGCCCUGCGUACCAUGGUGCCGUGGCGCUGGGGGCUCACAGGGCCCCGCGGGAUCGCGCUGCCCCCGGCGGCCAGGCCGGGGCCGCUCCAUGAAGCGCCGCGCUGGGGGCCGCCCCCGCGCAGGGCCCCGCGACCAUGGCCCCCGGGGGCGCGGCCGGGCAGGCGGAGGCGCAGGGCCGCGGCGAGUCCAGCGCCGAGCAGCUGCGGCCCCAGAGCCUCGGGCGCGGCGGGCGGGGGGCGCGGGGCGCCGAUUGGAGCCCGCGCGUCAGCUGGGGCCGCCGUCUGGACGCUUAAAGGGCCAGGCCGCCUGCGUGCCGGCGGGGGGCGCGGACACGCGUGGUGUGCGCCGUCCCCUUGCAGCCCGCCCUGCUGCAGGCUGCCCUCCACCCCUCAGCCCCUGCUCCAGCCCCCAGCCCGUCCCCACUGCUCAUAUCCGAGCAGAUGGACCCCGGCCCCACCCUCCCGUGCUGAGCCUCCUUUCUGCCGGGAAGUUCGUCCGGGAGUCAAACAUCGGUGCCCUCCGGUUGCGCCACGGAGGGGAAGCUGCCGUGAAAUCAGGAAGCUGAGAGCGCCGGGCCCCGGAUCCGAUCAGAAAAGGCUUCCACCCGCUUCCCUGAGCGAUCCCACGCUGAUCCUACUGAACCCCGCACCCCAGCCGCGCUCACCACCCCCACCCUCUUGCCUGGGCUGUUCUGACCUGGGGGUAUCUACCCUCAGUGCUGGAGUGUCCCCAGGCUUGGUUGGGGAAACCAGAUUCAACCCCACUGAAGUUGGAAAGAACAGCCCAGGUUGUGGGUCUCUUUUGCAGCUUCCAGGAUCCUCUCCUGCCCUGUUAGUUCUGGGGGCCUUGGGCCUCUCCCUAGUGAUUGAGCCUGGCCCCAGACAUGAACCCUCUGGGACUCCUUCACUUCUAGAGGCACCACCUCAGGGACCACCAUCUCUGAACCACUGAU
rnacentral:lncRNA from 1 species